AUGGUUCUGGGUUUGAGCUUGCCAUACAGAGGCCCCAUCUCUUCUCACUGUCCCCAGGUGCAUCACUAUCGCCCCAUUUCCCAUUGUUGCUUUCCAUUGUUCUCUAAGGUUGCCUCCUCCUCACGAGGCUCGGGUUCUUUCAGCCUUAUUAUCCCUGCCUUCACCGAUCCCCAGGCUGCCAGGGCGGCUGCCCUCAUCCUGAUCCAUCCCCAUGCAGUACUCCCAUCAGAGGGUGCCCACUGCCCUCCCACAGCUCAGAAGCACAGGGCAGAUGAGGGAUUGCUGCCUGCAGCAUUCAUUAGAGAAAAUCCCUCUCCCUGCGCAUUACCAGGGAGGCAGGAGCAGUGCUGCACAGGUUCAUUGUUUAAGUGCUUUCUGGGCUCGCAGCUCUCUAACAAAGAUGCACUCGGUCAAGCCUGCAGCCUCCACUCCAGCUCCUGCCUGCAGUCAGGCUGGGGGCUGUGUGGGGGUGGGGUGGGGGUGCAGCAGGACAGGGGAAUUGAGGCUGUGUGGGCUGAGGCUGGAGGAGGGAGGAGUGCUGGGUUGGAAGGAGAACUUGAAGAACAUCAGGUGCCUCUGGAGACAUCCCAUCCCAGCCUGGGGCAGGCUGCUUUGCCUGACCUGUGCCCAGCAUUUUCCUGCCUCUCCUUAACCUCCUCCCCAGAUCAUCUUCCACUGUUCUCCUGCCCUUUCUGCCAGAAAACUUUUCUUGACUGGCUUGUGCCUGCCUUGUGUGGCUCCACCAGCCACUGCCCACUGGAGCAGGAGUCGCUCUCUGUGUCACUGCUGGGGCCUGUCCUGCCCGGGGAGGCUGCAAGCACAGCUCCCUGCUCUCAGCAUUUGGAUGGCCUUGUCUUCCUCAAACUUUGCUCUCCUGAUGGAUUUCCCAGACAUCUGGUCCUUGCUCCUCUGUCCAGAAGGUCAUGGCACGGAGCACUGUGCUCCCCUCUUGCACCCCAAUGUUGUGCUCUGAGCAGGAUGAGGCUGCUCUCCCCAGCCAGGCUUUUGGGUUCUCUCUACAACAAAAGGCAUUUGCACUUGCCCUGA
rnacentral:lncRNA from 1 species